UUAAGUUAUUAAGGGCGCACGGUGGAUGCCUUGGCACUAGAAGCCGAUGAAGGACGUUACUAACGACGAUAUGCUUUGGGGAGCUGUAAGUAAGCUUUGAUCCAGAGAUUUCCGAAUGGGGAAACCCAGCAUGAGUUAUGUCAUGUUAUCGAUAUGUGAAUACAUAGCAUAUCAGAAGGCACACCCGGAGAACUGAAACAUCUUAGUACCCGGAGGAAGAGAAAGAAAAUUCGAUUCCCUUAGUAGCGGCGAGCGAAACGGGAAGAGCCCAAACCAAAAAGCUUGCUUGUUGGGGUUGUAGGACACUCUAUACGGAGUUACAAAGGACGACAUUAGACGAAUCAUCUGGAAAGAUGAAUCAAAGAAGGUAAUAAUCCUGUAGUCGAAAAUGUUGUCUCUCUUGAGUGGAUCCUGAGUACGACGGAGCACGUGAAAUUCCGUCGGAAUCUGGGAGGACCAUCUCCUAAGGCUAAAUACUCUCUAGUGACCGAUAGUGAACCAGUACCGUGAGGGAAAGGUGAAAAGCACCCCGGAAGGAGAGUGAAAUAGAACCUGAAACCGUGUGCUUACAAGUAGUCAGAGCCCGUUAAUGGGUGAUGGCGUGCCUUUUGUAGAAUGAACCGGCGAGUUACGAUUUGAUGCAAGGUUAAGCAGUAAAUGUGGAGCCGUAGCGAAAGCGAGUCUGAAUAGGGCGUUUAGUAUUUGGUCGUAGACCCGAAACCAGGUGAUCUACCCUUGGUCAGGUUGAAGUUCAGGUAACACUGAAUGGAGGACCGAACCGACUUACGUUGAAAAGUGAGCGGAUGAACUGAGGGUAGCGGAGAAAUUCCAAUCGAACCUGGAGAUAGCUGGUUCUCUCCGAAAUAGCUUUAGGGCUAGCCUCAAGUGAUGAUUAUUGGAGGUAGAGCACUGUUUGGACGAGGGGCCCCUCUCGGGUUACCGAAUUCAGACAAACUCCGAAUGCCAAUUAAUUUAACUUGGGAGUCAGAACAUGGGUGAUAAGGUCCGUGUUCGAAAGGGAAACAGCCCAGACCACCAGCUAAGGUCCCAAAAUAUAUGUUAAGUGGAAAAGGAUGUGGCGUUGCCCAGACAACUAGGAUGUUGGCUUAGAAGCAGCCAUCAUUUAAAGAGUGCGUAAUAGCUCACUAGUCGAGUGACACUGCGCCGAAAAUGUACCGGGGCUAAACAUAUUACCGAAGCUGUGGAUUGUCCUUUGGACAAUGGUAGGAGAGCGUUCUAAGGGCGUUGAAGCAUGAUCGUAAGGACAUGUGGAGCGCUUAGAAGUGAGAAUGCCGGUGUGAGUAGCGAAAGACGGGUGAGAAUCCCGUCCACCGAUUGACUAAGGUUUCCAGAGGAAGGCUCGUCCGCUCUGGGUUAGUCGGGUCCUAAGCUGAGGCCGACAGGCGUAGGCGAUGGAUAACAGGUUGAUAUUCCUGUACCACCUAUAAUCGUUUUAAUCGAUGGGGGGACGCAGUAGGAUAGGCGAAGCGUGCGAUUGGAUUGCACGUCUAAGCAGUAAGGCUGAGUAUUAGGCAAAUCCGGUACUCGUUAAGGCUGAGCUGUGAUGGGGAGAAGACAUUGAGUCUUCGAGUCGUUGAUUUCACACUGCCGAGAAAAGCCUCUAGAUAGAAAAUAGGUGCCCGUACCGCAAACCGACACAGGUAGUCAAGAUGAGAAUUCUAAGGUGAGCGAGCGAACUCUCGUUAAGGAACUCGGCAAAAUGACCCCGUAACUUCGGGAGAAGGGGUGCUCUUUAGGGUUAACGCCCAGAAGAGCCGCAGUGAAUAGGCCCAAGCGACUGUUUAUCAAAAACACAGGUCUCUGCUAAACCGUAAGGUGAUGUAUAGGGGCUGACGCCUGCCCGGUGCUGGAAGGUUAAGAGGAGUGGUUAGCUUCUGCGAAGCUACGAAUCGAAGCCCCAGUAAACGGCGGCCGUAACUAUAACGGUCCUAAGGUAGCGAAAUUCCUUGUCGGGUAAGUUCCGACCCGCACGAAAGGCGUAACGAUUUGGGCACUGUCUCAACGAGAGACUCGGUGAAAUCAUAGUACCUGUGAAGAUGCAGGUUACCCGCGACAGGACGGAAAGACCCCGUGGAGCUUUACUGUAGCCUGAUAUUGAAAUUCGGCACAGCUUGUACAGGAUAGGUAGGAGCCUUUGAAACGUGAGCGCUAGCUUACGUGGAGGCGCUGGUGGGAUACUACCCUAGCUGUGUUGGCUUUCUAACCCGCACCACUUAUCGUGGUGGGAGACAGUGUCAAGCGGGCAGUUUGACUGGGGCGGUCGCCUCCUAAAAGGUAACGGAGGCGCUCAAAGGUUCCCUCAGAAUGGUUGGAAAUCAUUCAUAGAGUGUAAAGGCAUAAGGGAGCUUGACUGCGAGACCUACAAGUCGAGCAGGGUCGAAAGACGGACUUAGUGAUCCGGUGGUUCCGCAUGGAAGGGCCAUCGCUCAACGGAUAAAAGCUACCCCGGGGAUAACAGGCUUAUCUCCCCCAAGAGUUCACAUCGACGGGGAGGUUUGGCACCUCGAUGUCGGCUCAUCGCAUCCUGGGGCUGUAGUCGGUCCCA
rnacentral:rRNA from 1 species